CUAAUCUGUAUUUGGACAUAGGUCCUAUAACGAGGUAAUCAAGGUUAGAUGAGGUCAUAAAAGUGGGGUCUUGAUACAAUAGGAAGAAGAGACUUCUAACAAGAGACAAUGGAGAGCUUUUUCUCUCUUUCACCACACACAAAGAAGAGGUCAUGUGAGCACCCAGCAAGAUGGCGGCUACCUACAAGCCAGGAGAAGCAGCCUCAGAAUGAAAACUAUCUUGCUGGCACCUUGACCUUGGACUUUCCAGCUUUCAGAACUGUGAGAAAACAAAUCUCUGUUGUUUUAGCCACACAGUCUGUGGUAUCUUGUUACGACAGCCGAGCAGACUAAUACAAGGAAUAUGACUUCAUUUAUAUGAAGGAGGAAAAGCUUUGGUGGGAAAUGAUGAGACCACAACCCACUGGUGAAAGAGUUCUAGGUUCAUAGUAGACACUAAGAAAAUGGAGUCGCCUGCUUGGAAAUCGCCAUAUGCCCUGGAGAAGCCCAAAAGGGUUCAGGAAACGGGCACGUCAAUGAGUGGCUGGCAUGAUAGACGUCCUUCCACCUUUCUCAGAUUCUCUACAUCCAGGAGAAGACAUAUGGCAGAGAAGAGAAAGGGAAGACACUGGAAACAAGGGGUCCUAUGCACACAUCAAGACUUCACUACUUAUAUGUGUAUGACCUUAUGAAUUAUUAACCUCUCUUACCUUCAACUUCUUGACCAAUGAAAUAGGAAAGACAGUAUAGUCCAUGCAGAAUUAUUGUGAGAAUAUAAUUAAGGAGAUAAUAAUCAUAAAACAUCCGGAAAUCAAUAAAUAUAUAUAUAUAAUCACUGUAACAGGAAAAAUGAAACCAUCUUUUACUUGAAGGCAAAGGCUCUGAGUUUUGGGGGAAAAAUAGUCACCAAUGUUUCUCAAAUUUAAAGGCAACAGUUUGGCAUUCUCAAAUACAAAAUAGUUCAGUUAAAAGUGGUUGAGAGUCCCUCUUUUAAAAAAAAUUCACAAACAAGCUGGGAGCAGUGGCUCAUGCCUGUAAUCCCAGUAUUUUUGGAGGUCGAGGUGGGUGGAUCACUUGAGGUCAGGAGUUUGAGACCAGCCUGGCCAACGUGGUGAAACCUUGUCUCUACUAAAAAUACAAAAGUUAGCCGGGCAUGGUGGUGCACACCUGUAAUCCCAGCUACUUAGGUGGUUGAGGUAGGAGACUUGCUUGAAUCUGGGAGGCAGAGUUUGCAGUAAGCCAAGAUCGCGCCACUGCAGUCCAGCCUGGGCAACAGGGCCUGAGUGAGACUCCAUCUCAAAAAAAUAAAAAAUAAAUAAAAAUAAAAAUUACAAACAGAUGCACAAAUGCAAUCAAUCAAAAGAUGAUUUGAGAAACUGUUCUAAGGGUAAGUUCCACAGUCAAUAAAGAAGACCAUGGUAGUCACUUCCAAGAUGGCUGAAUAGGAACAGCUCCGGUCUGCAGCUCCCAGUGAGAUUGAUGCAGAAGGUGGGUGAUUUCUGCAUUUCCAGCUGAGGUACUGGGUUCAUCUCAUUGGGACUGGUUGGACAGUGGAUGCAGCCCAUGGAGGGUAAGCCAAAGCAGGGAGGGGCGUCGCCUCACCCAGGAAGCUCAAGGGGUUGGGGGAUUUUCCUUUCCUAGCCAAGGGAAGCCAUGACAGACUGUAUCUGCAGAAACAGUUCACUCCUGACCAAAUACUGCGCUAUUCCCACGGUAUUAGCAACCGGCCGACCAGGAGAUACCCUCCCGUGCCUGGCUCAGCCAGUCCCACGACCAUGGAGCCUUGCUCACUGCUAGCGCAGCAGUCUGAGAUCGACCUGCGAUGCUGCAGCUGGAUGGCGGGGGUUGUCCACCAUUGCUGAGGCUUGAGUAGCUCAACAGUAUAAACAAAGAGGCUGGGAAGCAGGAACUGGGCAGAGCCCACUGCAGCUCAGCAAAGCCUAAUGCCUCUAUAGAUUCCACCUCUGGGGGCAGGGCAUAGUAGAACAAAAGGCAGCAGACAGCUUCUGCAGACUUAAAUGUCCCUGUCUGACAGCUCUGAAGAGAGCAAUGGUUCUUUCAGCAUGGCGUUUGAGUUCCGAGAAAGGACAGACUGCCUCCUCAAGCAGGUCCCUGACCCCCGUGUAGCUUCACUGGGAAACACCUCCCAGUAGGUGCCAACAGACACUCAAACAGGCAGAUGCCCUUCUGGUACGAAGUUUCCAGAGGAAGGAUCAGGCUGUUCUGCAGCCUGAUUUGCUGUUCUGCAGCCUCCCCUGGUGAUACCCAGGCAAACAGGGUCAGGAGUGGACCUCCAGCAAACCCCAACAGACCUGUAGCUAAGGGAUCUGACUGUUAGAAGGAAAACUAACAAACAGAAAGGAAUAGCAUCAACAUCAACAAGAAGGACAUCCACACCAAAACCCCAUCUGUAGGUCACCAACAUCGAAGACCAAAGGUAGAUAAAACCACAAAGAUGGGGAGAAACCAGAGCAGAAAAGCUGAAAAUUCCCAAAAACAGAGCACCUCUUCUCCUCUAAAGGAUCACAGCUCCUCGCCAACAAGGGAACAAGACUAGAUGGAGAAUGAGUUUCACGAGUUGACAGAAGUAGGCUUCAGAAGGUCGGUAAUAACAAAGUUCUCCAAGCUAAAGGAGCAUGUUCUAAUCCAUCACAAGGAAGCUAAAAACCUUGAAAAACUGUUAGAUGAAUGGCUAACUAGAAUAAAUAGUGUAGAGAAGACCUUAGAUGACCUAAUGGAGCUGAAAACCAAGGCAUGAGAACUUCAUGACAAAUGUACAACCUUCAAUAGCUGAUUCAAUCAAGUGGAAGAAAGGAUAUCAGUGAUUGAAGACCAAAUUAAUGAAAUAAAGUGAGAAGACAAGAUUAGAGAAAAAAGGGUGAAAAGAAAUGAACAAAGCCUCCAAGAAAUAUGGGACUAUUUGAAAAGACCAAAUAUAAGUUUGAUUGGUGUACUGGAAAGCGACACGGAGAAUGGAACCAAGUUAGACAACACUCUUCAGGAUAUUAUCCAGGAGAACUUCCCUAACCUAGCAAGGCAGGCCAACAUUCAAAUUCACGAAAUACAGAGAAUGCCACAAAGACACUCCUUGAGAAGAGCAACCUCAAGACACAUAAUUGUCAGAUUCACCAAGGUUAAAAUGAAGGAAAAAAUGUUAAGGGCAGCCAGAGAGAAAGGUCAGGUUAUCCACAAAGGGAAGCCCAUCAGACUAACAGUGGAUCUCUCAGCAGAAACCCUACAAGCCAGAAGAGAG
rnacentral:lncRNA from 1 species